CCGGGACAAGCGCAUCCUCACCUGCCUGAUCUAGAACUUCCUGCCCAUGGACAUCUCGGUGCAGUGGCUGCACAGCGGGGUGGUGCUCCAGCCCUCCCGGUACAGCACCAUGCCGCCCCACAGGACCAAGGGCUCCGGCUUCUUCGUCUUCAGCCGUCUGGAGGUGACCAGGGCCGAAUGGGAGCAGAAAAACGAAUUCAUCUGCCGUGCGAUCCACGAGGCAGUGAAAGACUCACAGACCGUCGAGAAAGCGGUGUCUGUAAAUCUUGGUAAAUGACGCCCUCC